GGCCUGCUGCGGCUCUCGUCGAAGGCAAAUUUUCCCAGCGACCUUAAUUCACUCUAAGGGAGCUGUCCCUGUCCGGUCCCGUGGGACCGGGCAAUACGGCGCCCACCUGGUUAUCCAGGUCGAGGGGAUUCAACCGUCCUUCACGGCUCUCGCGGCGCCG
rnacentral:other from 1 species